UCCGUAGGCGGUUUAAUAAGUCAGUGGUGAAAUCUGGUCGCUCAACGAUCAAACGGCCAUUGAUACUGUUAGACUUGAAUUAUUAGGAAGUAACUAGAAUAUGUAGUGUAGCGGUGAAAUGCUUAGAUAUUACAUGGAAUACCAAUUGCGAAGGCAGGUUACUACUAAUGGAUUGACGCUGAUGGACGAAAGCGUGGGGAGCGAACAGGAUUAGAUACCCUGGUAGUCC
rnacentral:rRNA from 1 species